GGAAUACAUACAAUGGAGCUCUCUUAAAUUUAGUAAAGGAAAGUUUAAAUUAGCAUGAAAUGGUAUGGCUAGCUGCUAAAAUGAAAAUAAAUGUGAGGUAAAAAGCCCAAACCAAACAGCUGGAAUGCCAACCAAAACAUUUUCAAUACAAAAGAGUGAAGAUGGUGAUGGGACUUUUGAAUCAACACGAACAGAGCUUUGUUUUUAAUUUAUUUGCAGAAUAGAAAUUAUCUACUUUUUCAUCACAUCCCUUCAUUUUAUACAACAUCUGCUAUGCUAUGAGGACUUGAAGAAAAAUAACAUUUAUAUGAACAAUAGACAGAAAGUCACACUAGCAGACCAUGUGAUAAAAACUGCUUAAUAUAAUAUUUCAAAUGUGUCCAAAGAUAAGUUAACUAUACCUGGGUGUAACACAUUUAACUCAAGACAUACAUUUGUCUAAAAGCUAACUUAGCCCACUUAGUGGCUUCAAUUGAAGCAGUAUAAAAGUGCCUACAUGUACAGUAGAUUCCCAGUCAGAGAAAUUUACUUUAGUUUUACUUUAAUUUAACCAAAAUGUUUUUGAAAUGUGUAAGAAAGAAGUGGCUAAAUGAAGCAUAUUAAUGUUAAUUAUAAAGGGUUUCAAAAGAUAGAGCAUCAUACUAACUUCAUUGCGAGCUGCUGGAAUAAACAACUUGCUUAAUUGUUCCUCUAUUUCUUUCAACCUAGCACCACAAAAAAAGCUGUCCCUCACAGUGUGAACAACACAACAUAACAACAACCUGGGGAUCCUGCCUGUCUGCCAGAUUGGGCUUCGCUCAUUCGGAUCGACACACAUUUCUGCAUUCCAUUCCUGAGGUCCAAGAUGACCUGCCGCUCCUGGCUCUCUAGCUCAAAUCUCCGUUCUCUCUCUUUUCUCUCAGCUCCCAGACGUUCCCUCUCCAGACUGAUUUUACCUAAGAACAAAAACAAGGAAAUUAAAUCAGUACUUCAAUGCUAUUUAACAUUAUUACAUCAUAGCAGUUUAGAAGAACUUUGAUCCUUUCAAAUGGACAUUUUUAACACAUUUUGCACAAUACCCUAUUUUCAUGAAUGACUUCACUGUCAUUAAUAUACUGUAUGAGAUGUUCAAUCUUAAAGUGUAAUGGCAUGUAUUUCUUUCGCUGCCCAUAUCUCAGAUUUUGAAAAAUGAAAUACUUAAAUAAAUAUGUUUCUUUGGUGUCAGUUUA